GAUGAAUGCUAGCGAUAGGCCUAACACAUGCAAGUCGAGGGGCAGCACAUGACGUAGCAAUACAGAUGGUGGCGACCGGCGCACGGGUGAGUAAACACGUAUGCAACCUACCUUCUACAGGAGGAUAACCCGUUGAAAGACGGGCUAAUACUCCAUAACACAGGGGUCCCGCAUGGGAAUAUUUGUUAAAGAUUUUUUCGGUAGAAGAUGGGCAUGCGUUCCAUUAGCUAGUUGGUUGAGGUAACGGCUCACCAAGGCAACGAUGGAUAGGGGAACUGAGAGGUUUAUCCCCCACACUGGUACUGAGACACGGACCAGACUCCUACGGGAGGCAGCAGUGAGGAAUAUUGGUCAAUGGAGGCAACUCUGAACCAGCCACGUCGCGUGAAGGAUGACGGCCCUACGGGUUGUAAACUUCUUUUAUACAGGAAUAAAGUGAGUCACGUGUGAUUUUUUGCAUGUACUGUAUGAAUAAGGAUCGGC
rnacentral:rRNA from 1 species